rnacentral:rRNA from 1 species
UACAGAGGUCUCAGGCGUUGUUCGGAUUCAUUGGGCGUAAAGGGUGCGUAGGUGGCGCCGUAAGUCGGGUGUGAAAUUUCGGAGCUUAACUCCGAAACUGCAUUCGAUACUGCGGUGCUCGAGGACUGGAGAGGAGACUGGAAUUCAUGGUGUAGCAGUGAAAUGCGUAGAGAUGUGGAGGAAUACCGAUGGCGAAGGCAGCCCCCUGGGAUAACACUGACGCUCAUGCACGAAAGCGUGGGGAGCAAACAGG